UCCUCUGCGGGAACCCAGACAAGAACAACCAUUUAACUCGGUGGGUCCCUUUCAGCAGUAUCAGUGCCCGCGCCAGACAGCCCCAGAGCAGGCGAGGAAGUAACCGGCCACCUCACAAAUAGGAGGGUAAGGGACUUGUCUCCUCAGACCUCACCGAGAUGUUCCCAGCAAACACCCAUCCAGAGCUGGCCGGUGACUCAGACCUUCAGCUCAUCACCUUGGUCUUUGCCUCAAGACAGCGGACAGCCAGCAGCGAUGGGGUUUUUUUGGCUGUUUGAGCACGGCUACCUCUCGGGUACGCCCUGUUUAACACCAUCACUCAACCAGCAGGCUCACACCGGCUCGGCGUGCUUCUCAGGAGAGGAAACUCCAGUCUGCCCAGUCGCUGCCCGCCAAGGCCAGGUCGCUCGAGACUCCAGCCACAGCAUCUGCUGGGACCCGCUCACCCCCCAGAAGCCAGACUGGCAAGAUACCGCUAGGAGAAGAUCUCAUCCCAGAGAAGGUGGGUGCUUUGGAAGCUCAGAUGCACAAGAAGCCAUCGUUGUUUGGUCCUCGACCCCUACCCAAGGUACAGGCCAGCGAAAGUGCUGCACGCACGACCUGCCAGCCCCUAAAAUCACAUCACGGGGAAACGACGCGGAGGUUUCACCUCCUUUCUCCAGGACAGGCACCACUCAGCACGUUCCCCAUGUCCUCCAGGCUCCACCGUACCAGGAAUAAUCAGCAGCUUGAG